rnacentral:rRNA from 1 species
UACGUAGGGGGCUAGCGUUGUCCGGAAUCAUUGGGCGUAAAGCGCGCGUAGGCGGCCAGAUAAGUCCGGUGUGAAAGUCACAGGCUCAACCUGUGAAUGCCGCUGGAAACUGUCUGGCUAGAGUCCGGAAGGGGCGAGUGGAAUUCCUGGUGUAGCGGUGAAAUGCGCAGAUACCAGGAGGAACACCAAUGGCGAAGGCAGCUCGCUGGAACGGUACUGACGCUGAGGCGCGAAAGUGUGGGGAGCGAACAGG